ACUCACGAUCGAAACCAACUCAGGAUAAUACGACUUAAAGUUACAUUGCAAACAGCCUUGGCAUAUUGGCGUCAUGUGAAAUGAAAAUGUUAGCUAUCUCGAGGCUCAUGCUGAGCGCUACUAAAAUGCUCUGCAAACUCAUGGGGAAUUCGGCCACCGAGUAACUUCCGUUUCCAAGGAGUCAACCGUGGAACACGAGGCCCCAGUUCCUGAGCGGGAAGCUGGUUCCACGUCGGAGGUUCGCAAGGAACUGCGCUCCAAAGCACGCGGCUGAAUUCAACCCUGAGACAGAUAAAUCAAUAUAUAAGCCGCUGGUCCGGAAGCCCAGCACCACGCAGGAACAACUCGACUUGUAGUCUUCGGCAGCUGAGCGGUCAACAAGACCGGAAGAUAGGAAUUUGGGUUGAUCUUGAAACCGAACUAGUAGAAUCCUAUAUUCGAUACAUCGGUAACAGAAAGGAUCCACGGGUUCCGGAAUAUUCAAAUGACCUCGACAGAAGUCCAGAGCUUUUUCGAUGUGACGUCAAUGACAUCCAAUCAGCCACGAUGGUCUACGGUUUCCAAGCACGGAAGGAUUGCGUAUCGAUCGAACGGAGAACGGAUCGAGUCCUACUUCGGUAAUGAAUUCUGGAAAUGGAUGACACGCCAUUCCAUCCAGCCGUACAACAUGCACCCUAUAAUUAAACGAAUUCUAUCCAAAACUCUGGCAUUUUUAAAUAUUUGACGAGAAGGAACUACGAACCUAGUGAAUGUAUAUAGAGCGUAACGAAAAUACCUAUAUGUAUUAAUAAUAUAUGCAUUAUCUGGCAAACAGGUACCAGAUCGAGAAAUGAACUUAAGAAUACUUUGCGUUAAAUGAUAAUUCGUUCGAAAUAGGAUAAAAUAGCUGUAAAAACUUCUUUAUGGAAAAAAACGAAAUUCUGUUAAUUCAUUACAUACAACUUGAGAGUACUCCUCGGUUGAAACAAAUAUUUUUUAAACACUGCAAGAAAGAAACCCAUCAGUCUGACAAAUGAUAAACAAUACCACAGUUUCAACACAACGGAUUUAAUAAUCUUCUAAAUGAUCGUUUCAAUUACAAUGAAAUGGGUAUGAAAACGAAAUCAAUUUACAUCUAUCAAUAGUUUAUAUUCAUUGUUGAAAAAUGGCUAAAACUGUUAAUAGUUAAUUAUAUACAUAAAAAAGAUUUAAAUACCUUGAAUGCAGUGGAAAACGUUUUUAUCUGCAGAAUACUUUCUCGUAAUUGGCAG